rnacentral:rRNA from 1 species
AACGAACGCUGGCGGCGUGCCUAACACAUGCAAGUCGAACGAGAAAGGGGCUUCGGCUCCGAGUAAAGUGGCGCACGGGUGAGUAACACGUGGGUAACCUGCCUCUAAGAUUGGGAUAACUCGUCGAAAGAUGAGCUAAUACCGAAUAAGACCACAGUUCCCGCGGGAACAGGGGUCAAAGGUAGCCUCUGCUUGCAAGCUAUCACUUAGAGAUGGGCCUGCGCACCAUUAGCUAGUUGGUAGGGUAACGGCCUACCAAGGCAAAGAUGGUUAGCUGGUCUGAGAGGAUGAUCGGCCACACUGGAACUGAGACACGGUCCAGACUCCUACGGGAGGCAGCAGUGGGGAAUAUUGCGCAAUGGGCGAAAGCUUGACGCAGCAACGCCGCGUGAGUGAUGAAGGCCUUCGGGUCGUAAAGCUCUGUCGGGAGGAACGAAUGCUCCUGAGGUUAACAGCCUCGGGAGGUGACGGUAUCUUCAAAGGAAGCACCGGCUAACUCUGUG